rnacentral:rRNA from 1 species
AUUGAACGCUGGCGGAAUGCUUUACACAUGCAAGUCGAGCGGCAGCGCGGGAGGGGUAACCUGACUGGCGGCGAGCGGCGAACGGGUGAGUAAUGUAUCGGAACGUACCCAAUCGUGGGGGAUAACGCACCGAAAGGUGUGCUAAUACCGCAUACGUCCUGAGGGAGAAAGCGGGGGAUCGCAAGACCUCGCGCGAUUGGAGCGGCCGAUAUCUGAUUAGCUAGUUGGUGGGGUAAAGGCCUACCAAGGCGACGAUCAGUAGCUGGUCUGAGAGGACGACCAGCCACACUGGGACUGAGAUACGGCCCAGACUCCUACGGGGGCAGCAAUUAGGAAUCUUGCGCAAUGGGCGAAAGCCUGACGCAGCGACGCCGCGUGCAGGAUGACGGCCUUCGGGUUGUAAACUGCUUUUAAGAGGGAAGAAGAACUGACUGUACUUCUUGAAUAAGCCCCGGCUAACUACGUGC